rnacentral:lncRNA from 1 species
AGAGCCCAGCACUUCUGGCCACCUCCACCCAUGUGGCCUGGAUCACCUCUGUGGCCCAGUCUGUCCUUCUUUUCAGAUCUGUUGGUCAACCACGGCUACCUAGGCCCUCACAACCAUGCCCCAGGCCACCACCUUCUGGCACUGCAGGAGUCCAAAACUGUGCGGAUAGCAAUACUGGAAACCCUGGGGAAAUGUUUGACUAUAGAGUCUUGAGAUGGCACAUUCCUACAAUUGAAGAAGGAAACUUGCACACCCGGUUUUUUGAAUAUUGUAAUAAAAAAAGUAUUAUGACAAAAAAAAAAGACUUG